UUGAAGCUUCACCUUAGCUCUUUGCACUGGGGAGAACCUUUGAUAUCUUGUAUGUCAUUGUUGCCCAAGAAGACAACCCAAGGAGGGGGGGGGGUGAAUUGGGUUUUAACUUUUAAGUAAUAAUUGGAAAUUUAAAACUUAAUGAGUAACUAAUUAAAAUUAUUGCAGGCAGAUUAAUUAGAUUACUAGUUGUAGUGAGUGGAGAAGAUGGAAGAGACAAUAAACCAAUUACAAACACAAGAGGUUUUAUAGUGGUUCGGAGCUAACCCUUGCUCCUACGUCCACUUCCCAAGCUUCACUUGGGAGUUCACUAUAAUCCCUAGGAUUACAGCCGAUUGUUUUACAAGUUCACAACCCAACUUGUUGUUUUCACGAGAUCACAACGAACUCGGUCGGUUUUUACAGGCUCACCGACUAGAACCAUCCGAUUGUUUUUUCGGGAUCACAAUCGAACCCUUACACCGUUGGUUUUAACUUCGGCUCACCAACAAACCUCAACAACCUUGAUUCAAUCCCCUGAUUGAAUCAAGUAACAAGAAAACAGUUUGUAAAGAGUACAGGGAAAGCUU
rnacentral:lncRNA from 1 species